rnacentral:ncRNA from 1 species
AUUUUUAAGGAAGAGCAGGUUCUCAUGCCGGGCCGUAAUGUUGGCAGUAGCGUAUGCUACGGGACUUCC